GGAUCCAGACUUUGAUUAUGGCUCAGGAUGAACGCUAGCUACAGGCUUAACACAUGCAAGUUGAGGGGCAUCAGUUUGGUUUGCUUGCAAACCAAAGCUGGCGACCGGCGCACGGGUGAGUAACACGUAUCCAACCUGCCUCAUACUCGGGGAUAGCCUUUCGAAAGAAAGAUUAAUAUCCGAUAGCAUAUAUUUCCCGCAUGGGUUUUAUAUUAAAGAAAUUCGGUAUGAGAUGGGGAUGCGUUCCAUUAGUUUGUUGGCGGGGUAACGGCCCACCAAGACUACGAUGGAUAGGGGUCCUGAGAGGAAGGUCCCCCACAUUGGAACUGAGACACGGUCCAAACUCCUACGGGAGGCAGCAGUGAGGAAUAUUGGUCAAUGGACGCGAGUCUGAACCAGCCAAGUAGCGUGAAGGAUGACUGCCCUAUGGGUUGUAAACUUCUUUUAUAUGGGAAUAAAGUGGUCCACGUGUGGAUUUUUGUAUGUACCAUAUGAAUAAGGAUCGGCUAACUCCGUGCCAGCAGCCGCGGUAAUACGGAGGAUCCGAGCGUUAUCCGGAUUUAUUGGGUUUAAAGGGAGCGUAGGCGGAUUGUUAAGUCAGUUGUGAAAGUUUGCGGCUCAACCGUAAAAUUGCAGUUGAUACUGGCAGUCUUGAGUGCAGUAGAGGUGGGCGGAAUUCGUGGUGUAGCGGUGAAAUGCUUAGAUAUCACGAAGAACUCCGAUUGCGAAGGCAGCUCACUGGAGUGUAACUGACGCUGAUGCUCGAAAGUGUGGGUAUCAAACAGGAUUAGAUACCCUGGUAGUCCACACAGUAAACGAUGAAUACUCGCUGUUUGCGAUAUACAGUAAGCGGCCAAGCGAAAGCAUUAAGUAUUCCACCUGGGGAGUACGCCGGCAACGGUGCAACUCAAAUGAAUUGACGG
rnacentral:rRNA from 1 species